rnacentral:lncRNA from 1 species
GGUUGAUAUUGUGUAUUAACUUCCAUAAUGCACAUUGUUUUUACAUAUAAAUGAAGAAAACAAUAUACACUCUACAACAUGUGGUAUCUAUCAACUAACAUAGUAUUAUAUUAGUGACAGUUUUAAUUAAAUUUGAAAGUAUUGUGUUUUCUAAUCACCACUGGAGAUGCAUUCACCUUUAUUCACAUUUUUAAUUGAAUUUCUUGGCCAUAGAUGUAGACAGAAUAUGCAACUGUUUAAAGUGUCAUAUUUCAAAACAAUAUAUAAGUCGACCAUUGACAGAAGGUUGUGCAAUAAAACUUUAACUACAUUAUCUAGAUUAUCAUCAAAAGAUAUGCAGUACUUCCCAAAAUUUCAAAGAAUAAUUGACAGCCAUUUAUAAUGUGUCAGAACAGGACAUUAUAUCUAUCUUAUCUUGUUAUCUGAGAUGUUUAAAUUGAGUUUUCUCUUGUUUUCUGUUUACAGC